AACGAACGCUGGCGGCAGGCUUAACACAUGCAAGUCGAGCGCCCCGCCAGGGGAGCGGCCGACGGGUGAGUAACGCGUGGGAACGUACCUUUUGGUUCGUAACAACUCCGGGAAACUGGAGCUAAUACCGGAUAAGCCCUAACGGGGAAAGAUUUAUCGCCGAAAGAUCGGCCCGCGUCUGAUUAGCUAGUUGGUGAGGUAACGGCUCACCAAGGCGACGAUCAGUAGCUGGUCUGAGAGGAUGAUCAGCCACACUGGGACUGAGACACGGCCCAGACUCCUACGGGAGGCAGCAGUGGGGAAUAUUGGACCAUGGGCGCAAGCAUGAUCCAGCCAUGCCGCGUGAGUGAUGAAGGCAUUAGGGUUGUAAAGCUCUUUUGUCCGGGAAGAUAAUGACUGUACCGGAAGAAUAAGCCCCGGCUAACUUCGUG
rnacentral:rRNA from 1 species